rfam:Gossypium hirsutum cultivar TM-1 chromosome 9, whole genome shotgun sequence
GUUGGGGGUGCACUAACCGCGUGCCUCUUGAAGAAUGAGCUGGCGACUCAUAGGCAGUGGCUUGGUUAAGGGAACCCACUGGAGCCGUAGUGAAAGCGAGUCUUCAUAGGGAAAUUGUUACUACUUAUGGACCCACACCUGGGUGAUCGAAUCAUGACCAGGAUGAAACUUGGGUGAAACUAAGUGGAGGUCCGAAUCGACUGAUGUUGAAGAAUCAGGAGAUGAAUUGUGGUUAAGGAUGAAAUGCCACUUGAACCCAGAGCUAGCUGGUAUAGUAUUCAUUGUUAUGGUAAUGAUAAUGAAAAAUAGGAGAUACUUUUUCUAGAAAUAUAGAAAAAUGGAAGU